GAAAGGGUUUUGAGAGAGUUUAGAGGAAGUACGGAAAAGUAUAGAGAAAAAUUUUGGAAUAAGAGAUUAGUGAGGUUUUUGGUUGACGAUUGGUCGUAGGAACUACGUGUUAUCAGGUUCGGCGGCUGACGCGUUUUGGCAACCUUCUCCUCCUCAUCAUUUUUGCAUGUAGAUAAAUGUAUAAUCUAUAGAGUAGUGAGAAGGUCCUACUACAGUUUAGAAAGUUUGAAAUAUGUACUUGAUAAAUGUUGGUUUUGAAAUUUUAUAA